UGACAAAUGAUUUGUUUACUUGUAUUCAGAGGUGGGUUCCCCUUUUCCACAGAGUGGACGUACUAACCUACCAUCAUACACUAACCCAGCUGAUUCUAAUUAGCACAGGUAGGAGAACUGGUUAGUGGAAUCAGCUUGUUUAGUUGCCUUUUCUUGUUCAAUACUUAAUUCCUGUGUCAUUCCACUUUAUUGCACAUAACUUUUUUAUGGAUUGGUAUAUUAUGAUUUCUUUAGCGGUGUAGCUUUAUUGAGUUAACACCCAUGUCGGGUCUACAUUUCAUGUGAAAACAUUUAUAUGGACAGCAGUAAUCUAAUUAUUG
ensembl:lncRNA